AUUGAACGCUGGCGGCAUGCCUUACACAUGCAAGUCGAACGGUAACAGGUUAAGCUGACGAGUGGCGAACGGGUGAGUAAUGUAUUGGAACGUGCCCAGUCGUGGGGGAUAACUGCUCGAAAGAGCAGCUAAUACCGCAUACGACCUGAGGGUGAAAGCGGGGGAUCGCAAGACCUCGCGCGAUUGGAGCGGCCGAUAUCAGAUUAGGUAGUUGGUGAGGUAAAGGCUCACCAAGCCGACGAUCUGUAGCUGGUCUGAGAGGACGACCAGCCACACUGGGACUGAGACACGGCCCAGACUCCUACGGGAGGCAGCAGUGGGGAAUUUUGGACAAUGGGCGCAAGCCUGAUCCAGCCAUGCCGCGUGCGGGAAGAAGGCCUUCGGGUUGUAAACCGCUUUUGUCAGGGAAGAAAAGGUUCUGGCUAAUACCUGGGACUCAUGACGGUACCUGAAGAAUAAGCACCGGCUAACUACGUG
rnacentral:rRNA from 1 species